AGUGAACGCUGGCGGUAGGCCUAACACAUGCAAGUCGAACGGCAGCACAGUAAGAGCUUGCUCUUACGGGUGGCGAGUGGCGGACGGGUGAGGCAUACAUCGGAAUCUACUUUUUCGUGGGGGAUAACGUAGGGAAACUUACGCUAAUACCGCAUACGACCUACGGGUGAAAGCAGGGGAUCUUCGGACCUUGCGCGAUUGAAUGAGCCGAUGUCGGAUUAGCUAGUUGGCGGGGUAAAGGCCCACCAAGGCGACGAUCCGUAGCUGGUCUGAGAGGAUGAUCAGCCACACUGGAACUGAGACACGGUCCAGACUCCUACGGGAGGCAGCAGUGGGGAAUAUUGGACAAUGGGCGCAAGCCUGAUCCAGCCAUACCGCGUGGGUGAAGAAGGACUUCGGGUUGUAAAGCCCUGUUGUUGGGAAAGAAAAGCAGCAGGUUAAUACCCCGCUGUUCUGACGGUACCCAAAGAAUAAGCACCGGCUAACUUCGUG
rnacentral:rRNA from 1 species